CUCAAAGUUGGUGAGACAAGGAAAUGGCGAAAAACCACAGUGGAAAUGUGACUCACUCAGAAACUUCAGAAUGGCCAUGUGCUACUAAAAAGAAUUAGUCAUCCCCACGGCCUGGCCAGACGUCUCCUUGGAUCUCCUGUACAUAAUUUACUGGUCUUUCAGCGCCUGGUUUGUUCGGGGUGAACACUUGCUACCCGAGUGGGCAUCAUCCUCCUUGCCACGCGGUCUUCCUCGCCUCUCCUCCACCAGUGGGAACAGAGAUUCACCUAGGCCAUGUGUGCUCAGGAGGAUGCCUGCUGUAUACUUUCACCCACUGGAUUAAGAAUUAAAACGUUCUCUGCCUUUUCUAAGAGACUGAGUCAGCGUUCUCGUGUUCACAGCUGGGCAAAGUCAUGGACUCACUGGCAGAGAGCUGGCAUCAUAGUGCCUUCUGAUGUUUUUAAGGCCUUGUAUUGUUUCACUACGGUCUCUUGCUGCGACAACUUUAUGUAUCCAUUCAUUCCACAGUGUGGGAGUGUUUCCUGUUCACAUAGCUGGCGAGCUGAUACCCCGGGAGUUGCAAAACUAAGACAUGAUCCUUCUAUUGCAGCAGGACAGCGUAUAGGAUGCAGCCAGGGAGUCCGUUACCGAUCAACAAAGACUAGGCUGUAGUCCAGUUAUGGUUUCAAAAGGUCAUUCAUUUAGAAAAAAACUAAUUUUCUUGUAAUAGCCCAAUGACGUUUGUAUUUGCUAAAUAUGUGCAAGGCUUUAAGAAACAUUAUUUUAGAAUCUCAAAAUGUAAUUGGUUAAAACCUGUGCUUUCUGUGAUGUUUGUUUGCAUUUUAAUGUUUUUAGGAAAUGUAAUUUGGCUUAUAAAAUGCUAUCAAAAAGUUGAGUCAAAAACAGUUUUCAUACAAGGAGAUCCUGCUGGGUAGCAUUGAGAACUAUGUCUAGAUACUCAUGUUGCAACAGAACAAAGGGUGGGGGAAAAAAUGUAAUUGUAAUGUCUACAUGUAAGGAUAACCUGACCCCCUUGCUGUACAGUGGGAAAAAAAAAAAAAAAAAAAAAAAAAAAAAACUACCAUGAGAUACCACCUCACACCAGUCAGAAUGGCCAUCAUUUAUAAAUCCACAAAUAACAAGUGCUGGAGGGGCUGUGGAGGAAAGGGAACCCUCCUGCACUGCUGGUGGGAAUGUAAACUGGUUCAGCCACUAUGGAGAACAGUUUGGAGAUACCUUAGAAAUCUAUACAUAGAACUUCCAUAUGACCCCG
rnacentral:lncRNA from 9 species